UCAACUUGGUCAAGGAAUAUUU
rnacentral:miRNA from 1 species